UACGAAGGGGGCUAGCGUUGCUCGGAAUCACUGGGCGUAAAGGAUGCGUAGGCGGGUCUUUAAGUCAGGGGUGAAAUCCUGGAGCUCAACUCCAGAACUGCCUUUGAUACUGAAGAUCUUGAGUCCGGGAGAGGAUGGUGGAACUCCCAGUGUAGAGGUGAAAUUCGUAGAUAUUGGGAAGAACACCCGUGGCGAAGGCGGCCAUCUGGACCGGUACUGACGCUAAGGUGCGACAGCGUGGGGAGCAAACAGG
rnacentral:rRNA from 1 species